GAUUUGGAGAAAUUUUAAUAUAACAUUGAAACUAUACAGAGGAAGAUUAGCUCCUGAACUAGGAUGACACACAGAUUUGUGCAACAUUCCAUAUUUUU
rnacentral:snRNA from 1 species